GAUGAACGCUGGCGGCGUGCCUAAUACAUGCAAGUCGAGCGAACGGACGAGAAGCUUGCUUCUCUGAUGUUAGCGGCGGACGGGUGAGUAACACGUGGAUAACCUACCUAUAAGACUGGGAUAACUUCGGGAAACCGGAGCUAAUACCGGAUAAUAUUUUGAACCGCAUGGUUCAAAAGUAAAAGACGGUCUUGCUGUCACUUAUAGAUGGAUCCGCGCUGCAUUAGCUAGUUGGUAAGGUAACGGCUUACCAAGGCAACGAUGCAUAGCCGACCUGAGAGGGUGAUCGGCCACACUGGAACUGAGACACGGUCCAGACUCCUACGGGAGGCAGCAGUAGGGAAUCUUCCGCAAUGGGCGAAAGCCUGACGGAGCAACGCCGCGUGAGUGAUGAAGGUCUUCGGAUCGUAAAACUCUGUUAUUAGGGAAGAACAUAUGUGUAAGUAACUGUGCACAUCUUGACGGUACCUAAUCAGAAGGCCACGGCUAACUACGUG
rnacentral:rRNA from 1 species